rnacentral:tRNA from 1 species
UAUAUUUUAGUAUAAGAUGUAUUAGGGUUUUUGAUGCUCUAGGUAACAGUUUAAUUCUGUUAAAUAUAA